AGCAGCCGCGGUAAUUCCAGCUCCAAUAGCGUAUAUUAAAGUUGUUGCAGUUAAAAAGCUCGUAGUUGAAUUUCGAGAUCAGUACGCUGGUCGUGCCUUCGGUAUGCACUGGUGUCACUGGUUUCUCCCUUCUGAAGAACCGUCAUGUCAUUAAGUUGGUGUGGCGGGGAAUCAGGACUGUUACUUUGAAAAAAUUAGAGUGUUUAAAGCAGGCUCGCGCUUGAAUACAUUAGCAUGGAAUAAUGAAAUAGGACGUUUGACCCUAUUUUGUUGGUUUCUAGGAUCGACGUAAUGAUUAAUAGGGAUAGUUGGGGGCAUUAGUAUUCAAUUGUCAGAGGUGAAACUCUUGGAUUUAUUGAAGACUAACUACUGCGAAAGCAUUUGCCAAGGAUGUUUUCAUUAAUCAAGAACGAAAGUUAGGGGAUCGAAGACGAUCAGAUACCGUCGUAGUCUUAACCAUAAACUAUGCCGACUAGGGAUCGGAUGAUGUUAAUUUUUUAAUGACUCA
rnacentral:rRNA from 1 species